CUCCCUCCCACCGCAACCUGCACCCCACUCUGUCCCUAGAUCUGUGGGACGCCCAGUGCCCUUUUCUCCUUUGUCCAACAUUCCCCAAUCUGCACCCCCAUUCCUCCCUCCACCCAUGGGGCCCCUCAGCCCUUCUCUCUCCUUCCUGCCCAACACUCACCCUUCAUAGCACACGGGCAGGCGAGCUAGGGGACGAAACCCGUGGGGAGCAGUGGAUUGUAGAGUGGAGCGGUGACUGAUAGUGUGGGCUCAGUCUCUGUUCCUCGACUGGGGCGGCUGGAGAUGGGAUGGGAGAGGGAGGCAGGGAUGAGGGUGUUAAUAGAGCUCUGUGUAGUGAUAGUUCCUGCUUGUCUUUAUUAGUUUGCAGAGGAAUUGUCCAGGAGCUGGAGCCGGAGGAGAAACUGGAAGAAGUGAACCUGAGCAGCCUGGACAUCCUUGUAAGCAGAGAUGAAGAGUCCUCAGCUUUCUGCCUUUUCCAUGACUGACUUACCACGGAGAAAGAAGUGAAGGGUAAGAGCCCACCCCAACUGUGAGAUGGAAGGCGCCCAAGAGCCGUGAGACAGUGAGCGUUGUUGAUUCCAGGCAAUGCAGAUGCCAUGAAGCUGGGAGUGGAACAGACGUCACCAUCAGUGAGAUAAGUGUCUGGUUUCGUGAGGACUCCUGUAACGGUCCACCUGCCUCCAGGCCAGGACUUGUCGUUAGUUGGGGCUGAGUUUGUAGGAAAAGGUUCCUGAAUAGCUGUAGUUACGAGGGAGACAAGGUCCCCAUUUUCAGGGGCUGGUCAUUUCUCUGUCACAAGCAGUGUGUUCUCUGCAGCAGAAGGUUGGAUCCAGGGGGAUGACUCCAGCUGGUGAGUUUCUUGACUUCCUCCCACGUUUUUCUCUCUGUCUCUCUCUCCUCUAAUGUGUUGGCCAACACACACUCUGUCUGUCGGUCUGUCUCUGUCCUUGCCUCUCCUUGUCCUGUCUCCUUUUGUAGGACAUGGGUAGGUGUGGUAGCUGUGCGUCCCCACAGGGUAGGUCUUGGGAGCGGUGAACAAGUAGGAGGGGACCAAAAUCACACAGGGUGGUGGGCACUAGAGUGCAGCGGUGACUGUGGGUGUUGACAGAGUCUCUGCUCUAGUGGGGCUGAUGUGGAUGGCGUGGGACAGGGAGGUAGGGAUGAGGGCAAGAUUUCAUGCACCAGUUGAAUUUUGUGUAGUGAUGGCUUUUUCUUGGGUUACGUCCUGCGUUUGCAGAGGAAUCAUCCAGGAGCAGCAGCCGGAGGAGAAAUUGGCGGAAGUGGACCUGAGCCGCCUGGAAACCCUUCUAAGCAGACAUGAACAGUCUUCAGCUUUCUGCCUCCCACGUAACUGCCUUUUGCAGAGGAAUCAUCCAGGAGCCCUCGCCGGAUGAGAAUAUGCAGAAGUGGACCUCAGCAGCCUGGACAUCCUUUUAAGGAGACAUGAAUAUUCCUCAUCUUUCUGCCUUUUGCAUAACUGCCUUACCAAGGAAAAAAGUCACGGUCAGAGUCUACUGUCCUCAUGCGAUGGAAAGUGAGCUAGAGCGACGAGACCACGAGCAUUGUCGAAAUCAAGCAUUAGCCGUGCAUCUGGGAGCGGAGCAGCUACUGCUGUCAGUGAGAUAAGUGUCUGUUCUGGUGAGAGCUCUGCUCACGGCCCACCUGGCUCCAGGUAGGGACGUCUUGUUAGUUGGGCCUGGGUUUGUAACAAAAUGUUCAUGACUAGCUGUGGUUAUGAGGGAGUCUGGGUCCCCAUUUUCAGGGUCUGCUCAUUUCUCUGCUGACAAGCGAUGUGUCCUCUGCAGAAAAGGUAGGUUCCAGGUGGCGAGUUGCUUGCCUUCCUCCCGUAUUUCUCUCUCUCUCUCUUCUCUAGUGUUGGCCAACACACUCUGUCAGUCUGUCCUUGCCUCUUUUUCUGCUGUUUCACUUCAUUGCACACAGGCAGGUGAGUUAGCUGUGUAUCCCCAGAGGCCAGGUCUCGGGAAGCAUGGCGAAGUAGGAGAGGGCGAAAAUAAUUCAGGGAAGUGGGUGUGAGAGUGGAGGCAGGUACUGGAAGGUCUUGUGCACCUGUAGUGUUUUUGGCAGUGAUGGCUGUUCCAUAGGUGGUUUGCUGUUCUUGCAGAGGGCUGCUCCAGGGCAGCGGAUCAUCUGCAGGAAGCAGACCUGCACAAUCUAGCUGUUUCGCUUUGCAGUGGAGCCGAGGAGCGCUCUUGUAAUGUUGGAGGAGCAGUCGUACUGAGAUUGGUCAGAUGAGAGAUCGGCCAACCUGUGGCAGAGACCAAAGAAGGAACAGCCACCCUGAGCCCAUCCCUAGGAAUGGAAGCCGGACAAUGAUCUGCAGAUACUAAGCACAACACAAGAGGGAAAAACAGAAGUUAAGGGUAAGAGCCCACCCCCGUUGUGAGAUGGAAAGCACCAAGAGCCGUGAGACCACAAGCGUUGUCGAUGCCAGGCUAUGGCGAUGCCGUCGAUCUGGGAGUGGAGCAGCCAUCACCAUCAGUGAGAUAAGUGUCUGGUUUGGGGAGGACUCCGGUAACGGCCCAUCUGCCUCCAGGCUGAGACUUGUCAUUAGCUGGGGCUCGGUUUGUAGGAAAAGAUUCCUGACCUGCUGUGGUUACGAGGGAGACAAGGUCCCCAUUUUCAGGGGCUGGUCUUUUCUCUGUCCACAAACAGUGUGUCCUACGCAGCAGAAGGUUGGAUGGAGGAGGAUGACUCCAGCUGUUGAGUUUCUUGACUCCAUCCCACGUUUUUCUCUCUCUCUCCU